GAUGAACGCUAGCGGCAGGCUUAAUACAUGCAAGUCGAGGGGCAGCAAUGUCACCGGCGAACGGGUGCGUAACGCGUAUGCAACCUACCCAUAUCAGGGGGAUAGCCCUAGGAAACUGGGAUUAACACCGCAUAAUAUAUUUCACGGCAUCGUGAUUUAUUAAAAUAUUUAUAGGAUAUGGAUGGGCAUGCGUAGGAUUA
rnacentral:rRNA from 1 species